CAGUAGCCGCGGGAAUACGAAGGGGGCUAGCGUUGUUCGGAAUUACUGGGCGUAAAGCGCACGUAGGCGGAUAUUUAAGUCAGGGGUGAAAUCCCAGAGCUCAACUCUGGAACUGCCUUUGAUACUGUUUGUCUUGAGUUCGAGAGAGGUAAGUGGAACUGCUAGUGUAGAGGUGAAAUUCGUAGAUAUUCGCAAGAGCACCAGUGGCGAAGGCGGCUUACUGGCUCGAAACUGACGCUGAGGCGCGAAAGCGUGGGGAGCAAACAGGAUUAGAUAACCCCGUAGUCCCUGUCUCUUAUAA
rnacentral:rRNA from 1 species